rnacentral:rRNA from 1 species
AGAGUUUGAUCAUGGCUCAGAUUGAACGCUGGCGGCAGGCCUAACACAUGCAAGUCGAACGGUAACAGGAAGCAGCUUGCUGCUUUGCUGACGAGUGGCGGACGGGUGAGUAAUGUCUGGGAAACUGCCUGAUGGAGGGGGAUAACUACUGGAAACGGUGGCUAAUACCGCAUAACGUCGCAAGACCAAAGAGGGGGACCUUCGGGCCUCUUGCCAUCAGAUGUGCCCAGAUGGGAUUAGCUGGUUGGUGAGGUAACGGCUCACCAAGGCGACGAUCCCUAGCUGGUCUGAGAGGAUGACCAGCCACACUGGAACUGAGACACGGUCCAGACUCCUACGGGAGGCAGCAGUGGGGAAUAUUGCACAAUGGGCGCAAGCCUGAUGCAGCCAUGCCGCGUGUAUGAAGAAGGCCUUCGGGUUGUAAAGUACUUUCAGCGGGGAGGAAGGUGUUGUGGUUAAUAACCGCAGCAAUUGACGUUACCCGCAGAAGAAGCACCGGCUAACUCCGUGCCAGCAGCCGCGGUAAUACGGAGGGUGCAAGCGUUAAUCGGAAUUACUGGGCGUAAAGCGCACGCAGGCGGUCUGUCAAGUCGGAUGUGAAAUCCCCGGGCUCAACCUGGGAACUGCAUUCGAAACUGGCAGGCUUGAGUCUUGUAGAGGGGGGUAGAAUUCCAGGUGUAGCGGUGAAAUGCGUAGAGAUCUGGAGGAAUACCGGUGGCGAAGGCGGCCCCCUGGACAAAGACUGACGCUCAGGUGCGAAAGCGUGGGGAGCAAACAGGAUUAGAUACCCUGGUAGUCCACGCCGUAAACGAUGUCUACUUGGAGGUUGUGCCCUUGAGGCGUGGCUUCCGGAGCUAACGCGUUAAGUAGACCGCCUGGGGAGUACGGCCGCAAGGUUAAAACUCAAAUGAAUUGACGGGGGCCCGCACAAGCGGUGGAGCAUGUGGUUUAAUUCGAUGCAACGCGAAGAACCUUACCUGGUCUUGACAUCCACAGAAGAAUCCAGAGAUGGAUUUGUGCCUUCGGGAACUGUGAGACAGGUGCUGCAUGGCUGUCGUCAGCUCGUGUUGUGAAAUGUUGGGUUAAGUCCCGCAACGAGCGCAACCCUUAUCCUUUGUUGCCAGCGGUUAGGCCGGGAACUCAAAGGAGACUGCCAGUGAUAAACUGGAGGAAGGUGGGGAUGACGUCAAGUCAUCAUGGCCCUUACGACCAGGGCUACACACGUGCUACAAUGGCGCAUACAAAGAGAAGCGACCUCGCGAGAGCAAGCGGACCUCAUAAAGUGCGUCGUAGUCCGGAUUGGAGUCUGCAACUCGACUCCAUGAAGUCGGAAUCGCUAGUAAUCGUGGAUCAGAAUGCCACGGUGAAUACGUUCCCGGGCCUUGUACACACCGCCCGUCACACCAUGGGAGUGGGUUGCAAAAGAAGUAGGUAGCUUAACCUUCGGGAGGGCGCUUACCACUUUGUGAUUCAUGACUGGGGUGAAGUCGUAACAAGGUAACCGUAGGGGAACCUGCGGUUGGAUCACCU